rnacentral:rRNA from 1 species
UACGUAGGGGGCAAGCGUUGUCCGGAAUCAUUGGGCGUAAAGAGCGUGUAGGCGGCCCGAUAAGUCCGCCGUGAAAGUCCAGGGCUCAACCCUGGAAUGCCGGUGGAAACUGUCGGGCUGGAGUCCGGAAGAGGCGAGUGGAAUUCCUGGUGUAGCGGUGAAAUUCGUAGAUAUCGGGAGGAACACCGGUGGCGAAGGCGGCGACCUGGGACAAUACUGACACUGAGGUGCGAAAGCGUGGGGAGCAAACAGG